UCUGACCUCGAAUCAGGUGGGACUACCCGCUGAACUUAAGC
rnacentral:rRNA from 2 species